GGAAGAGGCAGGAGUGAUCGGAUUUUUAAGUGUCGCGCCGUGAUGUGUGUUUAAAGUUGAGUUAGCUAAAUACGAGUGCUAAGUUGUUCCGUGUAGCUACUAGUUUUGUGCGUGUGUAUAAAUUGUGCAGGUUUGUGGCAUACUGCGAAACCCCACACAUCGCACCCCAAAGUCAACGAUCGCUUCUGACCCCACCGUCAGCUACGAGGGUUUUCCCGGAAGUACGUCGACCGGAAGAGGGCUUGCGUACGUUUCAUCGCGCCCUAGGCAGAGGUUGCAGUCAUCCGCGUUCAUCAUCGAAUUGCGCCAACCACAUAUUAUUCAUCACUGCGACGACCGUACCCGUUCAUCGCCGCCGCGUGAAGCCCACAGACCGGAGGGAAUAUCAUCUGCGUCAACGUCAGCGACGCGAGCUUCAAUCAACGGUGCUCAUCGAAUGAACGACCGAUUGAUUUUCGAUUUCCCUCCACCCCAAGCGUACGCAAAGAAAA